rnacentral:rRNA from 1 species
AGUGAACGCUGGCGGUAGGCCUAACACAUGCAAGUCGAACGGCAGCACAGUAAGAGCUUGCUCUUACGGGUGGCGAGUGGCGGACGGGUGAGGAAUACAUCGGAAUCUACUUUUUCGUGGGGGAUAACGUAGGGAAACUUACGCUAAUACCGCAUACGACCUACGGGUGAAAGCAGGGGAUCUUCGGACCUUGCGCGGUUGAAUGAGCCGAUGUCGGAUUAGCUAGUUGGCGGGGUAAAGGCCCACCAAGGCGACGAUCCGUAGCUGGUCUGAGAGGAUGAUCAGCCACACUGGAACUGAGACACGGUCCAGACUCCUACGGGAGGCAGCAGUGGGGAAUAUUGGACAAAGGGCGCAAGCCUGACCCAGCCAUACCGCGUGGGUGAAGAAGGCCUUCGGGUUGUAAAGCCCUUUUGUUGGGAAAGAAAAGCAGCAGGUUAAUACCCCGCUGUUCUGACGGUACCCAAAGAAUAAGCACCGGCUAACUUCGUG